CGGUGCAGGAAUCAGGGGUGAGUAUCUCUUUUUUUUUUUUUUUGAUGUGUGGAACGUUGAAAUCUGAAGUGGGUUUUUUGUUUAGUGUCUGUAUGUGCUUUGUGUUUGAUGGGCUCAAGUCCGUACUGGAGCAGCCUGUGGAUACUGGGACUGUCUGGGAGGGUCAGUUCUGCCUGUGCCUUUCCUUCUGAGGACGCCACCCCAUUGCUGAGGACCGGCUUUGGCCGUGGUAGCAUCCUGCUCUUGCACCCGCCCGGCUGAAACGCAAAGUGUGCGGUUCCUUACCUGGCAGUACCGCGUGCGACAGGGUGCCCGGCUCUGGAGAGCACAGAGCUCGCUCUCAUCGUGGGGAGACCGAAGAGGCAAGACUCGUAGGAAGAGGUGACCCCUGAUUGGAACUCUGGGGCCGCACCACAAAGAACAUUUCAGCUUGUAUUUCCUGCCGACUUGAGAAACCAGCAGUUGGAGCCUGAUUUGUCACCAGGUGGCAGCAUGGGAGAAGGGAAGACUUCAUUUUCCUCAGUCUGGAAACAGCUGAAACGUUCUUCGCUUCCCAAGCGGAGAAAAAGAUGGUGCUGUACGGGGCUCCCGGGUGGCUCCGUCCCUCUGAAAACAGCUGAAAAGUCACCGCAGCUGCUGAAGAAAGUAUGAAACCUCAGGGGGAGUGGGUGUUGCUGCAAGCGCUAUCCUGACUUGAAAUGGGGAAACUGGUUGUAGCUUAAACCUCACCCGAUCGUGGGAUAAAUGAUAACGAGCGGCUUAGGAGCGCAGCAAGUGGUCCCUCUGCUACCAACACUGGCUCUCAAACGUAGAGUGCUUGUAAAGGUGUGCUCCGUCGCUGCUGCCGGCGAUCACAAACUGAGCGUGUAGCUGCUGCCACCAGCAACGUGCACCGUAAUGCUCGGAUGAUUGGUCGUACCGCGUGACACUGAGAAACUCUGCUGGGAAAUUUUCCUUGACAGACUGGAGGUUUUUGAAGCUCAGUCUGGUCAUGGACCUGGAUCUUCCUGGAAAGGUAUUAUCAGCUCUGCUCUGACCUUUGAAUUGGCGGUUGCGUUAAAAUAAGAUGGACGGGAAGUUUACAGAUGGCACGGGUGUCAGAUGGAGGCCU